UACGUAGGAGGCGAGCGUUGUCCGGAGUUACUGGGCGUAAAGCGCACGCAGGCGGUCUUGUCAGUCUAUAGGGACAGGGCACAGCUUAACUGUGUCAGGCUUAUGGAUACUGCACGACUUGAGGGCUCAAGAGGGAUGGGGAAUUCCGGGUGGAGUGGUGAAAUGCGUAGAUAUCAGGAGGAACACCGGUGGCGAAGGCGGGUCUCUGGGCCGAUACUGACGCUGAGGAGCGAAAGCGUGGGGAGCGAACAGG
rnacentral:rRNA from 1 species